CACCGCGGUCAUACAAGAAACCCAAAUUAAUCGUAUACGGCGUAAAGAGUGACUCAAUAUUAUCGCUACACUUGAGGCCAAAACAUAUCCAAGCUGUCAUAAGCUCAAGAUAUUCCUAAGCUCAACACCCCACCUCAACCUCAACGAUUAAUCGACCUCACGAAAGCCAGGAGA
rnacentral:rRNA from 1 species